AAGACUCUGCGUCGUUCUGUGUUCCUCAAGCAUGCAAACAACUUUUGAUUUCAACCUAUUCUCCGAUGACAACGGAGAAGGCCGAAAUCCUAUUGCCAGGUAUGUUUUUCCCUUCUCUUACUGCUUCUUUCCUUAAGAAACUAAUAACCAAUGUAAAAGCGAAAGAAAAGAAAAGAAAAUCCAAAAACAAUCCGUCAAAAGAAAAGUAAAAGAAACUCCGAAAAUCACCUCUUAGAAUUUUGAUUUUUUCUUGUGUAUUCAAUUGAUCUGAAUGCGUGUGUGUGUUUUUUGUGUGUUCGUACCCGAUUACAUGGCUCUCUGUUUGUUCUUAUAACCGAAAUCCGUGAGAAAAAUGAAAAAUAACCCCCCAAAUCCCUUUUUUACAUUUUUCUUAUUUUCUCCUCUUUUUUCUGAUUUGCUGUCGAUUUUUCUUUUUUUCUUUGCCUUUUCUGCUUUGUUGCGUUCGUUUGUCCUUCUUGCAGGUACAACGUACGGAGGGUGGACGUGGCACGUACGGAGGCACGCGCGAGGGCAAAGGCUCGGAGCAUACGGAGGCUGGUCACGCGCGGAAGGCUUGGUUGCGUUAUGAUUGGGCUAGGGGUAUUGGGCUUAGGCUAAUUGGGUUUAGGCUAAUAGAGUUUAGUUUACUAGGUUGUGUUGAUUUUGAGUUUGUAAAAACUGGACAUUGUUUAUUGUUUUGGCUUUUAUAUUUUUUGUUUAUUUAAUCUGUAUGGGCCAGGGCUAAAAUUGGGCCUAACAAUAUUUAUACAAUAAUGGCGCUGGAGAAUGGUCAAAGAUUAUUUUAAUUGAUGAUGGGGA
rnacentral:lncRNA from 1 species